AUUGAACGCUGGCGGCAGGCUUAACACAUGCAAGUCGAGCGGAGAUGAGGUGCUUGCACCUUAUCUUAGCGGCGGACGGGUGAGUAAUGCUUAGGAAUCUGCCUAUUAGUGGGGGACAACAUUCCGAAAGGAAUGCUAAUACCGCAUACGCCCUACGGGGGAAAGCAGGGGAUCUUCGGCCCUUGCGCUAAUAGAUGAGCCUAAGUCGGAUUAGCUAGUUGGUGGGGUAAAGGCCUACCAAGGCGACGAUCUGUAGCGGGUCUGAGAGGAUGAUCCGCCACACUGGGACUGAGACACGGCCCAGACUCCUACGGGAGGCAGCAGUGGGGAAUAUUGGACAAUGGGCGGAAGCCUGAUCCAGCCAUGCCGCGUGUGUGAAGAAGGCCUUUUGGUUGUAAAGCACUUUAAGCGAGGAGGAGGCUACCUGGAUUAAUACUCUAGGAUAGUGGACGUUACUCGCAGAAUAAGCACCGGCUAACUCUGUGCCAGCAGCCGCAGUAAAAC
rnacentral:rRNA from 1 species